rnacentral:lncRNA from 1 species
CGGAGAAAUCCGGGCCUGGGGCUGGGCCGAGCUGGGCCGCAAGGGCUGUCGGGAGCUCUGGACCCGCCGCCCCCCCUGCAGGUAAAUCCCAAAUUUCGGGGUUUUUUGGGAAUUUUGGGGGGAUUUUGGGGCGUUCUGGGAAUUUUGGGGGAAUUUUGGGGAUUUUGGGGAUUUUUGGGGAUUUUUUGGGAAUUUUUUUGGGAUUUUUGGGGAUUUUUUGGGGAUUUUUUGGGGAAAUUUUGGGGAUUUUUUGGGAAUUUUGGGGGGGAUUUUUGGGAAUUUUGGGGGAAUUUUUGGGGAAUUUUUGGGGAAUUUUGGGGGGAUUUUUUGGGAAAUUUUUGGGAAUUUUUUGGGGAUUUUUUUUUGAUUUUUGGGGGAAUUUUUGGGGAAUUUUGGGGAUUUUUGGGGAUUUUUUUGGGAUUUUUUUGGGAUUUUUGGGGGAAUUUUGGGGGGAUUUUUUUGGGAUUUUUUGGGAUUUUUUUGGGAAUUUUGGGGGGAUUUUGGGGCAUUCUGGGAAUUUUGGGGGAAUUUGGGGGAUUUUUUGGGAAUUUUGGGGAAUUUGGGGAUUUUUUGGAAUUUUUUCGGGAUUUUUGGGGGAAUUUUUGGAAUUUUUAGGGAUUUUUUGUGGAAUUUUUUGUGAUUUUGGGGGAUUUUGGGGGGAUUUUUUUGGGAUUUUUGGUGGAUUUUUGGGGAAUUUUUGGGGGAAUUUUGGGGAUUUUUUGGGGAAUUUUUGGGAUUUUUUUGGGAAAUUUUUUGGGAUUUUUUUGGGGAAUUUUUGGAAAUUUUUGGGAAUUUUGGGGGAUUUUUUGGGGAUUUUUUGGGAUUUUUGGGGAAAUUUUUUGGGGAAUUUUUGGGAAAUUUUUGGGAUUUUUUGGGCAUUUUUUGGGGAAUUUUGGGGAUUUUUUGGGGAAUUUUUGGGGAAUUUUUGGGAAUUUUUUUGGAUUUUUGGGGAUUUUUUUGGGAUUUUGGGGGAAUUUUGGGGAAUUUUUUGGGAUUUUUUUUGGGAAUUUUGGGGGGAUUUUGGGGCAUUUUGGGAAUUUUUUGGGAAUUUUGGGAAUUUUUGGGGAUUUUUUUGGGAAUUUUGGGGAUUUUUGGGGAAUUUUUGGGGAUUUUUUUUAUUUUUUGGGGAUUUUUUGGGGAUUUUUUGGGGAUUUUUUGGGGAUUUUUUGGGGAUUUUUUGGGAAUCUUUUGGGAUUUUGUGGGGAUUUUUGGGGGAUUUUUGGGAAAUUUUUGGGGAAUUUUUGGGGAAUUUUGGGAAUUUUUGGGAGGGGAUUUUUUGGGAAUUUUGGUUUUUUUGGGGGGAUUUUUUGUGGAAUUUUUUGGGAUUUUGUGGGGUUUUUUUGGGGACUUUUAUUUUUUUAGGGUUUUUUGGGGGGAUUUUUUUGGGGUUUUUUGGGGUUUUUGGGGUCCCCCCAAACUCGG